GCGAACAUUACGGGGUGCUGACAAAUCGGCUGAGAUUAUACCCAUUGAACCUGAUGCAGAUAAUGCUGCCGCAGGGAUACAAUUCACUUGAAAA
rfam:Bacteroides sp. CAG:770 genomic scaffold, scf158